UACGUAGGGUGCAAGCGUUGUCCGGAAUUAUUGGGCGUAAAGAGCUCGUGGGCGGUUUGUCGCGUCUGCUGUGAAAACGCGAGGCUCAACCUCGCGCCUGCAGUGGGUACGGGCAGGCUAGAGGUAGGUAGGGGAGAAUGGAAUUCCCGGUGUAGCGGUGAAAUGCGCAGAUAUCGGGAGGAACACCGGUGGCGAAGGCGGUUCUCUGGGCCUUACCUGACGCUGAGGAGCGAAAGCGUGGGGAGCGAACAGG
rnacentral:rRNA from 1 species